rnacentral:rRNA from 1 species
AGAGUUUGAUCCUGGCUUAGGAUGAACGCUGGCGGCGUGCCUAAUACAUGCAAGUGAAACGGGUAUCUCGGAUACCAGUCGCGGACGGGUGAGUAAUACAUAGGCAACCUGCCUUUAUGAGGGGGAUAACCGAGGGAAACUUUGGCUAAUACCGCAUGAAGACUCUAAGGCAUCUUAGAGGGAUAAAAGUUGGGAAACAACGCAUGAAGAUGGGCUUAUGGCGCAUUAGCUAGUUGGUGAGAUAGAAGCCCACCAAGGUAAUGAUGCGUAGCCGACCUGAGAGGGUGAACGGCCACAUUGGGACUGAGACACGGCCCAAACUCCUACGGGAGGCAGCAGUAGGGAAUUUUCGGCAAUGGGGGGAACCCUGACCGAGCAACGCCGCCGUGAAGGAAGAAGGUUUUCGGAUUGUAAACUUCUGUUAUAAGGGAAGAACGGAUUGGAUAGGGAAUGAUCUGAUAGUGACGGUACCUUAUUAGAAAGCCACGGCUAACUACGUGCCAGCCGCGGC